rnacentral:lncRNA from 1 species
AGUAUGGAGGAGUUUCUUACUCUUGUAAAGGAUAAAGAAGCUAAAUUGCGCAGCUGUUAUUCAGAAAACAUUGAACUUACAAGUGAUGAAAUUGUUACAGUGAUUUUAGUUGAUUCCAUCUUCAUGAUUGAGCACCUCCUCAGAUUUUCUAAUCGUGAUUUGGUAACCGCUGAUGAUUGUUUAUUUGGAAAGCCAUAUAUAGAUAUAGACAAUGACUUGUGCUUGCUAGAAAAUCAGCUUCCUUUUUUCAUUUUAAUCGACUUGUUCAAUCUAGCGAAAACCGCAACGUGUGAUGAACAAUUCGAGAAAGUUUCCUUGAUUAAAUUGAUUAUAAGUCUGAUCAGGGACUUGGCUGCUGAUGAUCUCUUGAUAGAGAAGAAUAUUUUAGAGCAACACUUCUCGAAAGCUGAGCAUAUGCUUGAUUUGCUUAGACUCUGUCUUGAGCCGUCCGGUGAGUCGGGUGAUGAUGAUGAUGAAGAAGAAAAUACAGUCAAACCUCAAAACAUACCUAAUGUGACGGAACUUCACCAAGCUGGAGUCAAGUUUCAGUUGGGAUCAGGCAAAAAUCUUCUCCACAUCACAUUCAAUAAAGGGAUUUUCGAAAUUCCAUUAUUGACAAUAUAUGAAACCACCGAAAGUUUGUUCCGAAAUCUUCUUGCUUUCGAGAUGGCGCAUUAUGAUAAGAGCUAUAUAAAUGACUAUAUUAUAAUGAUGAGGAACCUUGUUGUCACUGCAAAAGAUGCGGACAUGCUUGUUGAAAAUGGAGUUAUUGAUAAUUGGACAGGGGAUAGUCAAGCAGUGUCAAAUUUUCUACGCAAUAUUGACAAACAGGCUAUAUUAUAUGCUGAUGAUUUUGAGUAUUCGGUUCUUGUUCAAGAUCUAAAGGACUAUUGCAGAUACCCUUUGCACAAGUGGAAGGCAAACUUGAAGCAAAAUUAUUUCAACACACCAUGGGCAUCUAUCUCUGUCAUUGCGGCUGUUGUCCUCCUCCUACUUACCAUUGUGCAAACAGUUUGUUCCAUCAUCGCAUUGUAGGAAUAGGUUAAUUUCUACGAUUUUUCAAAUUGUAUGUUUUCGGACGGAUUUCAUACAUUUAAUAUGCCAGCAUUUCUUUUUUGUUUAGCUCAAUCACAGUGUUAAAAAAUAAGAGUGGUUGAUUUUGUACUUGUGAUUAUUUGAUUAUGACUUUAGAUCUGUAAUUGUGCCAAAUAUUUUGACUUUAACGAAAUCUUAUUUGUUUUAGAAAUAAUAAUAGAUGAACUUGGUUUUGUUGAAUUUGAUUCGUAAUUUCGUAUAAUACGUAGAUCAAACUUGGUUUGGUUUUGUUGACCUCGUGUAGUGAGACCACCUGGCCACUUAAGAGGAGAUAAUGGACUCAUUUAUUAUAAAUUGACAAACUUGGUUUUGUUCAUCAUAUAAAAUGGUUUGUUCUUGUGCAUACGCAUUGCAGACUAUACACAAAGCAAUUUUUGAGUUUUGUGCCUUCUAAUUUUUCGGAUCCAUAUUCUUUUUAAUUCUAGUUUUGUUUGCUCUAAACGGUUUUUCAAUCAAUUCUUAUUUCUCGGUUGUAGUUUUCCUUUUAUUUUAUAGGGUAAAGCUCUUUAUAUCCCCUGAUCGACUGUACUGAUUUUUUAUUUUAAUAAGUCUUCUUGCUCCGUCCAAUGCAUUAAUAAAAAGAUAAAUUGAUUAUGCAUGUGGAUAAUUAAAGAAUAAAUAAAAGUGGCAACAACCGGUUUUUGCAACUGGUUGUGCUUUAAAAUAAUAAAAUAAAUUUUCUAUAUAUAUGAAUAGUUAAAUUAUAAAAUAAAAAAUAAGUAAUAUUUAAAUAAUCAAUAUAAAAAUAUAUACGUGAAUAAAAAUUGGUUUCAUGUUUUAUGACAGUGGUAUAAUUUCAUGUUUAAUGAUCAAGGUUUUGAGAAAUUCUAGAAUAUAUUAGAGAUACCAUGUCAGCCAUAUAACAAGUAAAUUAUGUAUUCUAGAAUUUCUCCAAGGUACCAUAAGUGCAUUAAAUGUCUCCAUUUUUAAUGCUUUGAGGUUUCAAAUUGAUAGCUAAUAUUUCAAGUAAAUGGUCAAAUGUUUAAAGCUAGCAUUGAUUUCUUGUUUGAUGAAUGAAAUGUAGAAUUAUUGCUAAGGAUUUCAAGUUGUGGUUCUAGAUUUUGCAUAUGCAUUCGAUAGUUUCUAGUUUAAUAAUUAUAAUUUUAAAUUAAUGAUUCUAAGUUUCAUGUUAACAUCAGUCUCAUGUCUGAUAGUAGAGUUUUCAAGUUCAGUAAAAAUGAUUUCAAGUAACUCAUAAUGAUUUCAAGUUUAAUGAUUACAAUUUUAAGUUAAUGGUCUUAGGUUUAAUGUUUGCAUUAGUUUCAUGUUUAAUGUUUGCAUUAGUUUCAUGUUUAAUGGUCAAGUUUUCAAGUUCGAUAGUAAUGCUUUCAUAUGGUGUUUAAUGAUUUCAUGUUUACUAAUUACAAUUUUAAAUUAAUGGUCAAUUAUAUUUUCAUGUUAGCAUUGGUUUCAUGUGUAAUAGUAGAGUUUUCAUGUUCAACAGUUAUGUUUUCAUGUAAUAGUCAAUGAUUUCAUGUUAAAUGAUUAUAAUUUUAAUUUGAUGGUCUUAGGUUUCAUGUUAGCAUUAAUUUCAUGUUCAAUAGUAGAGUUAUUAAAUGGUAAUAGUUUCAUCAAAUACUCAAUAAUUUUAGGUUUAUUGAUUGUAUUUUUAAUUUAAUGAUCUUAAAUUUCAUAAUAGCAUUAGCUUCACAUUUUUAGUUAAAUGAUAGCAGUUUUCGAUUAAUGGUUGAAAGUUUCAGGUUAACAUUAGUUUCAUGUUCAGUGGCAUACGUUUAUUGUUUAAAUUUUAAUGAGUAAAGCUUCAGGUUCUUGGCCCUAGGUUUCAGAUGCGCAUUAAAUACUUUAGAUUUCAAGUACGAAUAAAAAUGUUUUAGGUUUCCCGGUACAAGUUUUUUGUCUAAUGGUUGAAGUUUCAGGUCAAUAGAUUAAGACUUUGGGUUAAAAAUUUCAUGUUUGUUGGUAAUAGUUUUCACGAGUGCAACGAAUAAUUUUCGUAUUUAAGAAUUUAAUAUUUUAUUUGUGGUUGACGAUUAAUUUUAUGUAAAAAUUACUUUCGUUAAUUCUUCACUGUAGUGUGACUCAUGUGUCAGUGAAUAUCAUUUUCUGAUAGUGCAAACAAAUUAAUAAGUGACACUUAAAAUGCUACAGUUGGGACAAUAAUUAAUAUUGUAAAUGUAGCAUUACUCUUAUUAGUGUUAUAGAUCUAUUUGGUAUAAUAUAUCAUCAUAUAUUUUAUAGUUAGAAUAAUAUGGACAAUGCACUUAUAACAAUAUUGUUGUCAAUCUUACUCUGUGUGCGAGUACCCAACCGCUUGUGAUUGUAUCACAAAAUCAAUCAUAUUAUAUCAAUCGCAUAAAUGUAUUGUCAGUGCAUGUUGUGUUAUUUUGUUAUUACCAUAUUGACAAUAUGUUGUGUUGGUAUCGUAAUUGACAAUAUUUUGAGUAUCCAACAUGAUAAUUAUUUCCUAUGUAAUUUGUAAUGAGUUCUGUUAUAGUUAUUUCAUAAAAGUUAAUUAUAAUAAAAUAUUAAUAACUUUCAUGUAAUUUUCUCUGUUCUCUAAUACGGAAUAUAAUUCAAAUAAUAUGUUAACUGUGGUAGUUUACGUGUUUAGUACUAUUAAUUUCUGAUUUAUUGUUGCAGAUUUUACAGGUGCCCGGAUAUUCAAGUUCUCAGUCUUCUCAAUUUUUUAUUUCACUUAAUAAUAAAUUCAAUCUUAUUCGUUGGAUUUGAUAUUAUUGAAUCCAACGGUAGGCAUCUACACUUGUAUCGCACAUACAGCUGUACAGUAGUUAUGCCCUUCAAAUAUGUAGAACCAUUGCAACGUCAAUUCCUCAGGAUUAAUUAGGAAGACUUAUUAUUCAAAUGGAAUAAAAUGCUCCAACAACCGCUUUUGACAAAUUCGACUCAUAAACUAAAGAAUAAGUCAGGGCCACGUAGCAGGUCAGUAAGUAGCCACGUAAUAAGCCUAAGGACCUAUUCAAAGACGCAUGUUUAUUACUUGUAAUAAUUUUUUUCCCUCAAAAGUCAAAACUGCAGCGAUCAUUGUUUGGGCAAAAACUAAAGUGCAUUAAACUUUGUGUUGUCUUUUCUAAGCUUUUGUUGCAUAUCUUUAAGUUAUGGAUGACAUUUUCUGAUUCUCUUAAAAUUGAAUAUAUGUAACAAAAAUAUUAAGAAUAAAACAUAACAUUUGAAAUAUGUAAUAAAAAAACGUGAUGAACGAUAUUAAUAGACGGACUUAACUCUAAUAGUAAAUAAGAAUAAUUAUAAUCAAAAUAAGGAAUUGGAAUCAGAAUAAUUUAUUUACUUAAAUUACAAAAAUCGUAAUUAGAAUGACUGUAUUACUAUUUAUGUGUUUAUUUUAUCUUAGAAUCAAAAUCAUAAUGAGUUAAAUUGUAAUAAAUUGCUAUAAAAUCCUUAAUUAAUUUUAUCAUAAUUAUAAUUUUGUAUUUUAAUUAUUGUUAUUGUUAUUAUUUUUUUAAAAAAAUUAAUUAAUAAUAAUAAUUAUCAUUAAUUAUUAUUACUAACAAUUUAAAUAAAAAAUUAUCAUUAAUUAUUGUUAAUAGAUUAAUUAAUUAUAAUAUUUUUAUUCUUGCUAUUAAUAAUGAAAACAAUAAUUUAUUUAAAAAUAUAAUUAUGUUUAUGAUUAUAAUUAUAAUUCAUUUAGUAAUAAUUAUAUUUUUAAUUAAAUGGAGGUUAUUUUAGAAAUUUAUAAUUAUAGGGGGUAAAUUCGUACUUUAAGUUUCAAUAAAAUAAAAUUGAGUAUAGAGGUUAAACGAAAUUUUACAAUUCAAAAAAUUUUAUAAUAUUUAUAAAUAAAUUAUAAAUAAUAUAGAGUAUAGGACGCUUUUUAAAAUUUUACAAUCGUAACUUACAUUAAAUGUAAGUUAAUUGGUGAUCCGACAAUUUAAUAUUCCACACCAAACGCAGUACAGGCUGUCGAAAGGGGGGGCCUAGUGUCUUCGAAUUUGUGUGAAGUUAGGAAAAAAAAGGAAAAAGAUAAGUAAAAAGACAAACGCGUUGCCGGUAAGACCGCGUCAAUGUUCAUGCCGGGGCCUUUUUGAGUCAAUUAUUGGAUUUGUUCAUAAAUACAGGGCAUAAGCUACCGACAGGCCAAUUGCAGGGUUAUUGUUCUUAAACUUGUGAUCACUCCGGCUUGAUUACUUGGUUGUUAUUAUUUUGUUCAUACUGCAGCAAGUGAUAGAACAUAUGGAUGAAAGCAAGCAUGCAUCUAUUGAUAUGGAGAAGUUAGCAGAUUCUUUGAGUGGCAAGUUCAAGACCUUGCAUCCCUUAUCCGAAAAGUGUUGCUAAACGCUGCCACCAAUUGAUUGAUCAGUGUAGGAUAGCUUAACAUACCCGUCCCAUAUAAGUAUAUUUCUGAUUGUACAGCCUACCAAGUACCAACGCUGCAAUUGUAAGUUUACUAAUUCUUGCUAAUAUUGUAUGAUUCUGAUUUAUUAUUCUUUUUUUCUUUAAUCAGUCCGGAUAUGCAUCUUGAUCACUCUGUUUUUUUGCUAAAGACAGUUUCAUUUGUUGAGAAAAGAAUUUACACAAGUCAUGGUCAGGACUUAACUACGUGGCCAGAAGAUUUUUAUACCUCAAUAUAAUAUUUUCUUUUAUAUGUAGAUAGCUAGCUAGACUGAAUAAAUUCCACGUGGCUAGAAGAUUUUUGGAUUUCUUCCAUCACGGCUUCGUGGUAAUGUGAGUUUUCUCAUUCUUCAAUCUUCGUUUUUAUUAGCUUGUGAUAGUUUUAUUCUUUAUGAUCAAUGUUUUCUAAUAAAUUACUGUUGACACAUUUUGUUUAGUUCUUGAAGAUGGCUAGCAGCGAGCAUGUAUCAGUGGAUGUGAACAACAUAGCAGCUUCAUUGAAAGAAAACUUGCAGACCAUGCAUCCCGUAUCCGAAGAGUGUUGCAUAUAUAGAGUUCCUCGGAGAACACGGUGUCUAAAUGAAAGUGACUUUACUCCACAAGUGAUUUCCAUUGGCCCACUUCAUCAUGGUAAAGAAGAGUUAAAAGAAAUGGAAGAGCAUAAAAGAAGAUACCUAAAACAUUUUCUUCAACGAACUAAGGUAAGUAUCGAGGAGCUUCUUACGCUUAUAAAGGAUAAGGAAGCUAAACUGCGCAGCUAUUAUUCAGAAAGCAUUGAACUUACAAGUGACGCAUUUGUUACAAUGAUUUUAGUUGAUUCCAUCUUCAUGAUUGAGCACCUCCUCAGAUUUUCUAAUCGUAAGUUGGUAACUAAUGAUGAUCGUGUAUUUGGAAAACCCUAUAUAGAUAUUUUCGAGGACCUGCGUUUGCUAGAAAAUCAGCUUCCAUUUUUCAUUCUAAACGACUUGUUCAUUCUAGCGAAAACCACAUCACAUGGUGAAGUGCUCGACGGACUUUCCUUGAUUGAAUUGAUUAUAAGUCUGAUCAGUGAUUUGGCUGCUGAUGAUCUCUUGAUAGAGAAGAAUAUUUUACAGCAACAUUUUUCGGAAGCUGAACAUAUUCUUGAUUUGCUUAGACUCUGUCUUGAGCCGUCAGUUGAGUUGAAUGAUGAUGAUCAGGAAGAUACAAUCAGAACUCAAAACAUACCGAGUGCAACGGAACUUCACCAAGCCGGAGUCAAGUUUCAGUUGGGGUCAACUAAGCAUCUGCUCGAAAUCACAUUCAACAAAGGAAUUCUGGAAAUUCCAUUACUGACAAUAUAUGACACCACCGAAGGUUUGUUCCGAAAUCUACAUGCUUUUGAGACAGUGCAUUGUGACAGCUGCUAUAUAAAUGACUAUAUUAUUAUGAUGAAGAACCUCGUUGUCACUGCAAACGAUGCGGAAUUACUUGUUCAAAACGGAGUUAUUGAUAAUUGGACAGGUGAUAGUCAAGCAGUGUCAAAUUUUUUACGCAAUCUUGACAGACAGGCAACGUUGUAUGCUAAUAAUUUUCGGUAUUCGGAUCUUGUUCAAGAUCUAAAGGCCUAUUGCAGAUACCCAUUGCACAAGUGGAAGGCAAACUUGAAGCAAAAUUAUUUCAAUACUCCAUGGGCAUCUAUCUCUGUCAUUGCAGCUGUUGUUCUCCUUCUACUCACCAUCAUACAAACAGUUUGUUCUAUCAUUGCAUUGUAGGAUAUAUCUACUCUUAUUCAAAAUUCCGUGUUUUAUGCCGGUGUUUAUGUUUUGUUGAGCUCAAUUACACAAAGUAAAUUAAUAAUAAUAAAAAGAGUGUUUGAUUUUGUAAUUUUGAUAAUUAUUUGGUUAUCAAUUUGUGAUUAAUUGUUUUUUUUAAUUUUAUUUUUAUUGGUCCACUUGUUUAAUUACACUGCAGUUAUGCAAACAUAAAAGGGAAAAAGCCCCUUAAAUGUAUACAUAGACCCUCAAGAUUUCAACAAUUAUCACACAAACCAUUUUAUAUUAUGAUAAAUUGACGAUGACUUUUAGUUGAAAUUCCAAUCAAUCUAGUUUUGUUUAUUGUUUUUUUAAAUUGUUUUAUAGUAUUUUUUAGUGUUACAAAGUUGUACACAUUUUAAUUCCAUAAAUUAUGGCCAUGUUUUUCAAGUGGCCAAGCCCAAGCCCGACCCAAGCACUUCUCUUGUCGUGUUGGGUUGGGCUUGGCUCAGGUUGGGCUUGGGUCUAAAAGCCUGAAUUUAUGUGUUAUUUUUUAGUUUUUUAUUGUUUUUUAUAAAUUUUUAAUAUAUAAAAUUUUGUUUUAUUAGACUAGAAUUUAAAAAUUGCCCUAAAAGGAUUUAAAAUUUAAAAAUGUGUUAUGCCUAGGGCUAAAUAAAUAUUAAAAGGUGUAUUUUAAUUAAAAUAAAUAUUUUUUUGAGACAUUUAUUAGGCAUUCAGGCCAAGCUCGCGUUUUUUAGGUGAAGUCGAGCUUGGCGUGAGUGGUUAGAAAAUAUAGUUGGGUUAGGCCAUGUUUGGUCCGAAAACACCCAAGCUAAACACGAGCCGGCUUUUCUAUCAUCCUUAGUUUUUUUUUAGCCUUGAAGAGCUUUAUGUAAUAUAUUUUUUUAAAAAAACUAUAUGGGCACUCGUAUGUUAUGAAACCAUUUUUUAGAUGGGUCAUUAUUGGUUAAUGUGUCAAGAAAGGGUAAAAAAUAAUGGUGACAUCUAAACCCCUCAAUUGUCUUACCAACCCUCAUUUAUCAAUUAACCCCAUCCAAAACUUGGGAAAAGAAAAAAAGAAAACAAAUUCUCUAUCAAUUUGCCCCAUAUAAUUGCCAAUUUAUCUUUUUAUCAUUUUUCUACACUUCACUAGCUUAAAACUCCAAAAAUCUGCUCAAUAACUCUGAUCUCAUCCAAGCAUAGUUUAGUAUUUGUUUAAGCACUUGGAGUUCCUCAUCAACAAAGAAUGGGUUCAGAGUUGAUCAGUUUGGUGUUCCUCAUAUUGACGAAUGGUGGGAGUCAUGUCAAUGAUAAGGCCUGUUGAUAGUUGUUCGUCAGCUCAGUCCAAGAUUUAUAUAUUCAGUUCCUUUGCAACCAAAGGGCCACUUCUUAUUAUAGUUGCAACAAUACUGGACCUACUGGCUGGAGAGAUUGAGAACACACACAUAUAUCCAUUUUAAUAAUUUAUCUAAGGAAAAUAUGGAAAUUAACAUAAAAUUAGGAGCUGUGGAGAGAUUAAAUAUCACUAGUCUAAGCGAAAAUUACUGAACACUCUAAUAUAAUUUAUUUUUAAAUUCUUCGGUGCUGAUAGUUCCACCUUUCACACUGUGUAAACUCAUUCUUAACAAUUAAUUAACUAAAUCAUCUUUGAAUUUUUUUUUUUUUUACAAUUUAAAUCUCCUCGCGGUUUUUGAGACUUUGACUACUAAGAUUCUGUAAUAUAAAUUUAAUUUUCACUAUUUUUUUAUUUUUAAUGUAAGUCAACGUGACAGCCAGUAGUUUAGGUCCACGUGUACUUCCAUUGAAGUUUCCAUGAAAAGGGGUGACUGGUGCAGCUGAAGCCCCAACUUGACCGGGUUCAGAUAAACAAUCGACGAAAGGUCGAAAUAAUUCGCCUGACAAAGACCUCAAUAAUUCAAUGCAAGUGGCGGUCCCUUUGACUUUCUUCUUUUAUAUAAUUCAUGGCUAACCCUAUGUUACGUUGGAUGUAACAUACACUCAAAAGUAAAAAUAUAUGUUAGCACCCCUACAUUUUAUGGAAACUAUAUUAAUUGAAUUAAAAAAAAUACUUUUAAAUCUUAAAGAAAAAAUGAGAGAAAUUAAACAAGAAAUAAGAAAGAUAAAAAUAGAAUUAUCAACAAUUCAGAUAAGCCGAAAGAAAAAUAAAAAAGUUGAGAAACUUGAAAUAAUAAAAUCAGGAAUAAUAGGGACAAGCAUUGAAAAACAUAUGACAAAACCUCAACCAGGAAGUUAUGAUGACUGGUUUAUAAAAAAUCAGUAUCCAAAAAUAUUAGAGGAAUCAGAAAAGUUAAAAGCAGAAUUAAAAAGAGAAGAAAAGGGAAAAGAAAAAUUAGAGAUAAAAGAAAAUACACCUAGUGACACAGAAUAAUGGAAAAUACAUUAGAAGAAUUAACAGAAAAAUUUAGUGAUAUUAACCUUAGUGAUUUAGAAGAUUUUGAAAAAGAAUAUCAAUUAAAGAUGAAUGUCGCUGGAGGUCCAGAAUUAAAACCUGAUAUUGGAGAACCUAGCCAUAGAUAUGAAACAAAUAAAAAGAAAAAUAGACCUUUUUAUGAAUACUAUCCGCCCGUUAAAAAUACCCCUUGGAAAAAAGAUUACCAACCUAAUAAUGACCAUUUGAUGCCAAUAAGCAAUGCAGGUACAUUUUUAGACUUAGAUUGUAAAAUAGACCCCCGAAAAGCUUUAGUAGAAUGGGGAAUGCAAAUAAAAUUAUUUUUUAUAUUCAAUGGAUCCAAAGAUGAUUGGAAUGUAGAUACUGAAGAAGAAAAAAUAAAUAUAUUAACAGAUAUUCUAAUAGCAAGUUUUACAGGAAAAGUAUUUAAUUGGUGGAAAGGAUUAAGUGACGAUACACAAAAAUUAAUAAAAGACUCAACCAAAAUAGCAUUAGGAAAAGAUAAAGGAUUAGGAAUAGAAAGAAUAAUCGAAUACAUUGCUAGUGAAUUCUUAGGAGAAGAUUGGUUACAAAUACAGAAAAUGAAGCAAAAUAUGAUAAAUUAAAUGCUAGAAUGAAAUUAAUAAACCUGACAAUCUGUAAUAUGUGUUUUGUAAAAGAAUAUACAUGUGAAUUUAGUAAAUAUUAUUAUACACAAUUCAUGAGUCAUGAAGACCAGAACAUUUAUAAAAAUUUGUAUUAUUCUAAAUUACCUUAUCCAUGGAAUGGAUAUUUCAUAAAUGAAUAUGAGAAAUAUACUAAUAAAAGUGAUAGUAGAAUCCCAGAUACAUUAGGAUCUAGGAUUAGAUUUUUAAAUACAAGAUUAAGUGAAAUUUGUAUCCAAAGAAGUUUAAUAAAAAAGAGUAAAAAUAUAACAAAAAUAUGUUGUGAAAAAACAGAAAUGCCUACCCAAUGGGGAUGUUAUGUACCUCAUAAAAGACGCAGGAAAUCUUAUAAUAAAGAAAAGAGAUAUAAAAAAUAUAAUAAUUUUAAGAAAAGAUAUAAAAAAUCGGGAAGAAAAUAUUAUAAAAGAAAAUAUAAAAACCAGAGAAAAAUAUUAGAUAAGUCCAAAUGUAAAUGUUGGAAUUGUGGAGAAAUAGGGCAUAUAAGUACAGAUUGUACAAGAAAGAAAAAAGUUAAACUCUUAAAAGAAGAUUUUGAAAAUAUAGAAAGUGACUUAGAGAAAAUAAAUAACUUAUCUGACUAUAUAGGAGAGGAAGUUUAUAUGGCUGAAGAAUCUGAAAAUGAAUCAGAAUAAAGAAGAGUUAUUAGAUAAUGAAAAAAUAGAAGAGAUAGAAGAAAUAGAAAAAGAAGAAAACAAAAGUGGAUACAGUCUUGUUGCUACUUUUAACAAAGAAAAAUAUAAUAAACUUUUAAAAUUAAAUAUGGAAAAACCAGAAUAUGGAAUAAUCCAUAGAUUUAGAGAUAUGUUUAAAAGAAAACGAAUAAUAUUACAUGAAUAUUAUGAACAAGAAAAAGCUGUGACAAUUACACAAGCUGAAGGAAAUAUUAGAUUUAGUUUAAUAAAUAAAAGAUCCAUAGAACUAGCACUGAGAAAAAUAAAAAAUGAGUCAACUAAAGAAAAAAUUCAAUAUGUAUAUCUCGCUGAGAUACAAAUCUUAAUAAAAUCUCUUUUUAAAGAAGGAAUAGAUAGCCCAAUAGUUUUAUCAUUGCAUGAUCAAAGAUUUACAGAUCCUAAGAUAGGACAUCUUGGAACAAUAGAAGGAAAUUUAUGUUAUACUAAAUUAUUAUUUACUUGUCACCCUAGAUAUUGUGUACACAUUAAAGAUAAGAACAUAGACGAAACAUUAAGCUUACAUUUUAAGUUAUUAAGGAAAAAUUAAAUGAAAGAAGGUAACAGAAUAAUGACAAUACAUUACUCAGCCUUAUAUAGUUUCUGUAAUUCAAAUUACGGAGAAAUAUAUGGUAAUAAACCUUACAUCGAGAUAAAUAAAGAUUGUGAAGAUAUCGUAACAUUUAUAGAACCAGUAAUCCAAGAUUACAAAAUCCCUAUAAAUUAUGAAUUAAAUAUCGAUGAUAAAAAACAAUUUUUAAAUAAUAGUAAUGAAAACUCCAUUAUUCCUAUAAGCUUUGCUGGAAGAACCUUAAUAAGAGGAAGUUCUUCUAGAAGAUUAAACACUGAUAAGCAAAUAAUUAAAUGGGUACCAACAAAUAAUGUGGUAAAAAUACUUGGACAAUACUUUAAUGGAAUAGAUUAUACAACAAAAGUACCUAUACUAUUAGACACUGGCACAAGCCAUAAUUAUAUGAAUCACACAAAAAAUAAAGGACUCUUAGUAAAAGAAAAGGAAGUUCCGUAUGAGUAUACUGACUUCAAUGGGAAUAAACAUAUUUGUAAACAAGAAGUUAAAGUCCCUAUAAUAAUAGAAGGACUUAGAAUAAUAGUAGCCUGCUAUAUAGAUUCAUUCAUGACUACAGACCCUGAAAAACAUAUAGUACUAGGUAAUAGUUUUUUAAAUGAUUUAGAAUAUUACAAAAUUGAACCUAAUAAGAUAACUUUCUUAAUCCAAGGCCAAACAAUAAUUUGUUACACAUGUUAAAACAAGCUUAUGUAAAAUACCCUAUGUCUGUAUAUAUACAAAUAAACAUAACCGAAAAAGAUAUAGAUACUUGUGCUUUGUUAGACACUGGUAGUGAAAUAACUAUUAUGAAAUCCUUUUUAUCUAAUAAAUGGGAAUCAAAUGGAAAAUUAAAAAUUAUUGGUAUUACAGGAGAUAAACAACAUGUCAAUCAAUCUAUUUUAAAUUUUGAAAUCUUACUAGGAAGUAAAGUAGUACGUAUUAACCAAAUAUUCCAAUACAAUAAUAUGGAUUGUGAUAUCCUUUUAGGAAAUGAUUUCAUCAAACAGUUCCAAUAUUAUCAACAAACACCUUAUAUGAUCACUUUAAAAACCCCUUGUAAUCAUAUUCUCCGCAUCCAUCGCGAAUUCAAACCCUACAGAGUUCAACCAGCCCAGCCUGGUGAUAAGUAUAUUUAUGAAAAACAUUAUUUAAUACAAACAGGACAAAGUUAUAAUAUACAACUAGAAACAAUAAAAUCACAGCUUGAGCAAGUUUAUAAAGAGAACCCUUUAGCAUUAUGGAAACCAGAUCAUCCUAGAGCAAAAAUAGAAUUAAUUGAAAAUAGGAUUAUAAGACUUAAACCUAUGUAUACAGAAGAAAAUAGAGAAGAAUUUAAAAUUCAAAUAAAAGGAUUAUUAAAUUUAAAACUUAUUAGAAGCAGUAAUAGCCCGCAUAAUAGUCCAGCUUUUAUGGUUAGGAAAAGAGCAGAACAGGUUAGGGGAAAAGCAAGAAUGGUAAUAAACUACAAAGAACUAAAUAAAUAUACAAAAUUUGAUGGAUAUUUUCUCCCAAAUAAGGAAGUACUGAUAAAUCUUGUAAAAAAUAAAACAUAUUAUUCAAAAUUUGAUUGUAAGUCAGGAUUUUGGCAAAUAAAAAUAGAAAAUGAUAGUAUCCCUUACACAGCUUUUAGUACCCCACAAGGUCAUUAUGAAUGGUUAGUAAUGCCCUUUGGAUUAAAAAAUGCUCCACAAAUUUUUCAAAGUAGGAUGGAUAAAAUAUUUAAAGACUACAAUUACAUUAUAGUCUAUGUUGAUGAUAUAUUGAUAGCUUCAGAAACAAUAGAAGAACAUAGACACCAUUUGAAAGAAUUUGCUAAUACAUGUAUUAGAGAAGGGAUAGUACUAUCUAGUAAAAAAGCAGUAAUAGAGCAUAAGAAAAUAGAAUUUUUAGGAAUGAUACUUGACAAACAAGGAAUCAAACUCCAGAGCCAUAUAGGAAGAAAAAUAAUUGAGUUUCCAGAUAAAUUAGAAAAUAAACAACAAAUACAAAAAUUCUUGGGAUGUUUAAAUUAUGCAGAAGGAUUUAUAAAAGACCUAUCAAAAAAGAGAAAUAUACUCCAAAAAUUAUUAAGAAAAAAUAAUACUAGGGGAUGGAAUGAGGAACAUACAGAAACUGUAAAAAAUUUAAAAGAAGAAUGUAAAAACCUUCCGACUUUAAGACUACCAGAUGAAAAAGAUAGAUUAGUAAUACAAACAGAUGCGUCUGACUUAUAUUGGGGAGCAAUACUUAAAACAGAUAUAAAUGAAAUUUGUCGAUACACUAGUGGAACGUUUAACCAAGCUCAGGUUAAUUAUCCUGUACAUGAAAAAGAACUCCUUGCAAUAUACAAAGGGAUUAAAAAAUUCUCAUUAUUUUUACCCCAAAAAUAAUUUACUGUACAAAUUGAUAAUUCUCAGGUAAACGCUCUUAUUAAUAGGAUUUUACCAAAUGAACCCCAGUAUAGAAGAUUGCAUAGAUGGCAAGUUUAUCUGUCAUAUUAUAAUUUUAAAAUUGUCCAUAUAAAAGGAAUUAACAAUUUUCUUGCAGAUUUCCUAAGCAGGAACAUAGAAUUUGGAGAAUGAAUCCCGAAGUUAAUAGAAUUAUCGGGAAAAUAGAAGCUGAGGUACAAAGGCUCAAAACAGAAGCAUCUGAUAUAAUUGAUGCAAUAAACUAUUUAAAAGAAGCUUCCGAGGCUCAUGAAAAAGGAGUAAAUUUGUUAGAGUCAUACAUAGACGACCUAACAAAAGCUCUCUCUAUAAACACGAGCCCAAUAAACAUUAACCCAAUAAAUAUCGGAAGCAGUAGUGGACCCUUCAGAGAAGAUAAACCAAUCUCUGACCCAGUUCCUAAUAAAGUCAUAUCUAUAGAAGUCCAGUCUCCAAAAUCAGAACCUCCAAAAAAGUUCAUAGAAAUAAACAAUCCUUAUACAGAAGAAGAGGAGAAACCCCUGAAUCCAAAAGAAGAAGAAUAUAAACAAUUCUCCACAUGGGUGUACUCCACUUGUUCCCACAAAAAUACAAUUUUCAAAGCACCAGGAAAAAAUAUGUAUCCAAGAAUGAUUGCUACAAAAGGAGCAGACCCACUCCUUGUUGGAAAGAUAGCAAAAUACGGGUAUUUAGAUCUAGUCUAUCCAGAUAUAAAUCUUCAGGAAAUAGCCAGCCUUGAUGACUUAUUAAUAAAAGAAGUAUCAAGGUUCGCCCAAAAAAGACCCAUAUAUCUAAAAUUCUACACCAUAAGUCCAGAAUACUAUCAGAACGUAGAAUAUCAAGCCUUUUAUAUGAUCUCUAUAGGUCAUCUCACUAAGAAUUUCAAGGUCGAAGUUGGGACAGACUACACAAAUGUUCCACACAUAAAUGAGCAUUGGAUCAGAACACAAAGAGUCAGAGGAAUAAAAGCCAUAUGGAGCAUAGCCAAGGAUCUAUACAAAAGAAAUUUCAGAACCAUCAUCAAAUUUCAGAACUAUAUUCUCAUAACCUCUGAAGACAGUCAUACACCAUCAAACCUGUUAUUAGAUUUCAUCAAUGAAAUAAGCAUUAUGCGUUUCCCCAGUAGCAGUAAAACAAUGGAUCAAGCUUAUCAACUCAUGGAAGUGGCAGACAACAUAAAGAGGAUGCCCGACAAGAUAAGGCAGACAACAUAAAGAGGAUGCCCGACAAGAUAAAGCAGACAGCAAAAAGAAAGAUGCUAAAAUUAAAAAUAAGUGAUAUGUAACGUCAGCAGUGGCGUAAGAAGCCAAAUGAGUGAUAUGUAACGUCAGCAGUGACGUAAGAAGCCCAAUUAUAAAAGGGUAAUAAUGUAAUAAAGCAUAGGGAAUAAUGUAAAAGGCCCAAACAUAAGAAGGCAAGAAUGUAAUCUUUUUAGAUAUAAAUAAAAGAAAAAAGAAAAAAGGCUCUCAGAGCUUGAAUCACGAAAUCUCUUCCAAAAAACUCUCUAAAAAAUGAAUAACUAAACAACUUUUCAACUCAGAAUCCAGAAUCAAACCAUCAGAAAUCAUAAACAAAACAACACCUAAGAAAGGAAAGAGAAACCUAAAUUUGUUCAAAGUUUCCAAGCACAACGAUCAAAAUCCAUACAGUAAGGCCGCUCGAGUCCGCUGAUCCCGUUAAGGCAAGGAGGCUGUUGAGGGAAUAAGGACAACCAGGCUGCAGGUCACUGGAAGAGGAUCGAAAGGCAAAGAAAUAAGAGCAACUCAGGUAAUAAUUCUCAAACCUUAUCUUUUGGUGAAAGUUUGUUGAUGAUUGAAGAUGAGGAGAUUUAUGGAGGAAGAGCUAAUUUAAAACAUGAAUAACGAUAUUUUACUUGGGAAUUCUAAAGAAUAUAUGAUAAACUCUACCACUAGAAUAACAUAUAAUGACUAUAUGAUGAUAAUAGACUUUAACUUAGGAUCUUUUAAACAAAGUUCAUAUCUUUUAAGUAAAAAAGAGCUAGUUAGAACAGAAGAUCUACAAGCAGUAUAUACUCUUAAUUUACCAAAAGAAAUAAAAAGAAAAAUUAUAAACCAUAUCGAAAUAGAUAAUUUAAAACAUAAUAUAAUUAUGUUAACAAUAGAGCAAGGAAUUGACAUAGCUUUAGCAUAUAUAGAACAUGAAAGUCGAGAAAUCGGACCAUCAUAUAUAAAUUACGUAGAAAAUUCGGAUAACGAAGAACAUGAAAUAUAGGAAUUUAGUAAAAUAAAACAAAUAAACUGAUUGUAAGGUAUAUCGGCAAGCAACCCAUGACGUAAAUUGGAUAGACGAUCCCUAUUGGGCGUUAGUAUCCUCUGCACUUUGGGAUAACAAGCCACGUACCUGUAAUCAAGAUAUUUUGUAAAUAUAGAUACUCAAAGGGAAAUUAGAUACUAUUUUAGUAUAAUAAAUAAUAAUAUAUACUUUAUACAGAUCAAAUUAUUUUAUAAUAUGACCAAUAAUCCUGCAUAUAUUUUAGAAACUAAUAAUAAUUAUUAUGAUUUUUAUUUUCCUAGUCUUCUGAAUAAUAUACCUAGGGUAAUAUAAGGAGAACAAGUUAUUACCUUAUAUGUAAGAAAUAAUAGUAAUAGUAUUGAUAUGUAUACCUUAUAAAAUAAAGAUUUUUAACAAUAUUGUUUAUUGUUUUAUAUUUUUUAAUUUUCUAUAAUUCUUUAUUCUAUUAUUUUAUUUUUCUAUUGUUUAUAUUUUCGUUCGUUACCUUUUUGGUUUGUUUUUACCUUUUUUAGUUUUUUUUUUAGCACACAGUGCAAGAUGGUAUCAGAGCCAUAAGAACAAAAUUAUGGACCCAAUACAGUCAAUAGUUAAUAGUUUGUAUACAUUAAAGGUAUAUAAUAAAGAAGAAAUAAAGAAUUUGGUAAAAGCUUUAAAAACUGAUAAAAAUAAUAUAAGAAAUAUAGAAAUUGAAUUAACUGAAGAACUUAUAGAAAGGAAUAUAGAUACCACAGGAGGAGAAAUAUUGAUAGAAAAGAAAAUGAAAUUUAUUGAUAAAUUUAUACAAUUUUUAAUAUAUUGGUAUAAAACUGAAACAUUAUGAACCAAGCAGUUAAUACAAUACAGGAAUUAAUAAACAGUGCGGAACAUAUGCAUUUAGGAUGGGAAAAUAUAGUAAGUACAUAUAUAAAUUUAAUAAAUCAAAAAAUAGAUUUAUUAGAGCAAGAAAGAAUAGGUUUAAUAAAUUUAGGACCAUAAAUAUAUUCUGAAUUCAUAGAUCUAUAUGAGUUUGAUAACCACUUGUUGUUAUUAAAAGAAAUAAAUACAACUCUGGAAAGGAUAAAAAAUAGGUGUAGAAGAGAUGGAAGGAGACAAAUACUCCCUCAAUUAUAGAAAAUAAAGAAACAUCAAGGGACUCAAAUGAAAUUUACCAAGAAGAAUAAAACAAAAAACGUAAGGUACAUUGAUCGUAACUUAGGCGCUCCCCUAAUUCGUAUAUGACCCUUCUCUCUUGGAAUCACACCUCUAAUUUUCCAGAGAAAAUCACAUCUUCUUCCUAGCCAAACACCCACAUCGAAAAAUGAGAUACAGUCGACAGUGGUAAACUACAGACACAGCAGUGUAAGUUUUCAUUUCAUCCUGAUUUCUUGUACAUGUAAGUUUCUGAUUAGUACUUGAUCUUUUAUAUCUUUAAGCAAAUAAGCAAGUUUCUGGAAGUUGUUCUCAUUAACUUUGUUGCUAAACACCUACACAGCAACAAGCAAUAGAAAAUGGAAAACAUGGAGCAUGCAUCUAUUGAUAUGGAGAAGUUAGCAGAUUCUUUGAGUGGGAAGUUCAAGACCUUGCAUCCCUUAUCCGAAAAGUGUUGCAUCUACAGAGUUCCUCCCCCCAAGCGGCGUGUUCAUCCAAGCCAUUACACCCCACAGAUGGUUUCAAUUGGCCCGCUUCACCAUGGUAACCCAGAGUUAGAAGCCAUGGAAGAGCAUAAAAUAAGAUACAUGGAACAUUUUCUUCAACGAACUAAGGUACACAUGGCACGUUUCCUUUCAUUAAUUAAGGAAAAGGAAGUAGAAUUGCGCAAUUGUUAUGCAGAAACCAUUAAUCUUGAAAGUGAUGAGUUCACAGCAAUCAUAUUAGUGGAUGCUAUCUUUCUCAUCGAGUACUUUCUCAGAAUUGGUAAGCAUGAUUUCAUAACUAAUGAUGAUCGAAUAUUAGGAAAACCAUGGCUGUUUAAGCACAUCAGACUUGACUUAUUGCUGCUAGAAAAUCAGAUUCCACUGUUCAUCCUCAGUGACUUGUUUAAUCUUGCCAAAACGGCAACAUAUGGUGACUGCUAUGAGGGGCUUUCAUUGAUCACUAUUAUCUGCAAGCCCCUACUAAAUCUUUUUGAGCUACGUCUCCCCAUAGGGGAGAAUAUGUUCCAAACCCACUUUCCAAGAGCAAAACAUUUUCUUGAUCUACUAAACCUGUAUCUCCAACCAUCCCAACCGCGCGUCCAAAGUGCAUUAAAAAAGCAACGCAUUCCUAGCUCAAAGGAACUUCACCAAGCUGGAGUCAAGUUUAAGUCUGCGUCAAGCAAAAAUCUACUUGACAUUACUUUCAAUAACGGAAUUUUGGAGAUUCCAUUUCUGACAGUGUAUGAUUCCACGGAGUGUCUUUUCAGGAAUCUUAUAGCUUUCGAGAUUUUGCAUGGCCAUACUCGCUACCUUAAUGACUAUGUUACAAUUAUGAGUUUCCUCGUCGACACUCAGAAGGAUGCGGAGUUCCUCAUGCAGAAUGAAAUUAUUGGAUUGGGAAAAACUGGAAGAUUUUUAACAACUUUUCAGAGCCUUAUCCCAGACUGCGAGCAUAAUAAAAAUUUCCAGUACUCUGGUCUUACUGCAGAUCUACAUGCCUAUUGCAAAAUACCUUGUCAUGAGUGGAAGGCAAAUUUGAAGCAAAAUUAUUUCAACACUCCAUGGGCGUCUAUCUCUGUCAUUGCAGCUGUUAUUCUCCUUCUUCUCACCAUUGCACAAACAGUUUGUGCUAUCAUCGCGUUGUAGGUUAAUCUGAUUCAUGAAUAAAAACAUAGGUAUAUUGUUUACGUGUCACUUGACUUUUCAAAUUGUGUGACUAGACUUGAUUAAUGAUUUUAAUUUGUACUGGUUUUGGCCUAUUCUAGGAUCUAGUUGCUAACGUGUUGCUUGCUUGAACAAAUGACAGGAAACAAAAUUAUUCAAUUUUACAAGAAAGCAACUUUUUUCAUUUGUAGUAUAAAGAAAGACUUGGGAGAAGUAAAUUAAACUCAAUUAUGUCUUUAUUUAAUAAAUAAAAAAUGCUCAAGAGAAAAUAAAGAUUACAUACAAGUCAGGAUCAGAUUUAACUACCUCUAUCUAUAUAAUAAUUUCUUUUAUAAGUGGAUAGAUUUAAUUUUGUCAUAAACUAUUCCAAACACUUGGUAACAUUUGAUUGAACCCAAAAGAAUUAAAAAAUAAAAAUUUCUAUAGAUAAAUUCAAAGAGGAAGAUUAAAUCGAUCACGGAUUCAAGGUAUGGAAGUUCUCUUAAUCUUCUUCAUUCUUGUUUGCUUGUGAUAGUUUUAUUUGAGCAUGUUUUCUAAUAAGUUAUUGUUGUGAUUUUGUUUAGUUUGGUAGAAGAUGGCUAACUGCGAGCAUGCAUCAAUUGAUGUAAAAAGAUUAGCAGCUUCUUUGAGAGAAAACUUGGAGACCGUGCAAUCCUUAUCCGAGGAGUGUUGCAUAUAUAGAGUUCCCCAACAAACGCGGUGUCUAAAUGAAAGUGAUUUUACUCCACAAGUGAUUUCUAUCGGCCCGCUUCAUCAUGGUAAGGAAGAGUUAAAAGAAAUGGAAGAGCAUAAAAGAAGAAACCUCAAGCAUUUUCUUAAACGAACCAAGGUAAGUAUGGAGGAGUUUCUUACUCUUGUAAAGGAUAAAGAAGCUAAAUUGCGCAGCUGUUAUUCAAAACACAUUGAACUUACAAGUGAUGAAAUUGUUACAGUGAUUUUAGUUGAUUCCAUCUUCAUGAUUGAGCACCUCCUCAGAUUUUCUAAUCGUGAUUUGGUAACUGCUGAUGAUUGUAUAUUUGAAAAGCCAUAUAUAGAUAUAGACAA